rnacentral:rRNA from 1 species
AUGAACGCUAGCUACAGGCUUAACACAUGCAAGUCGAGGGGCAGCAUGAACUUAGCUUGCUAAGUUUGAUGGCGACCGGCGCACGGGUGAGUAACACGUAUCCAACCUGCCGAUGACUCGGGGAUAGCCUUUCGAAAGAAAGAUUAAUACCCGAUGGCAUAGUUCUUCCGCAUGGUAGAACUAUUAAAGAAUUUCGGUCAUCGAUGGGGAUGCGUUCCAUUAGGUUGUUGGCGGGGUAACGGCCCACCAAGCCUUCGAUGGAUAGGGGUUCUGAGAGGAAGGUCCCCCACAUUGGAACUGAGACACGGUCCAAACUCCUACGGGAGGCAGCAGUGAGGAAUAUUGGUCAAUGGACGAGAGUCUGAACCAGCCAAGUAGCGUGAAGGAUGACUGCCCUAUGGGUUGUAAACUUCUUUUAUACGGGAAUAAAGUGAGGCACGUGUGCCUUUUUGUAUGUACCGUAUGAAUAAGGAUCGGCUAACUCCGUGCCAGCAGCCGCGGUAAUACGGAGGAUCCGAGCGUUAUCCGGAUUUAUUGGGUUUAAAGGGAGCGUAGGCGGACGCUUAAGUCAGUUGUGAAAGUUUGCGGCUCAACCGUAAAAUUGCAGUUGAUACUGGGUGUCUUGAGUACAGUAGAGGCAGGCGGAAUUCGUGGUGUAGCGGUGAAAUGCUUAGAUAUCACGAAGAACUCCGAUUGCGAAGGCAGCUUGCUGGACUGUAACUGACGCUGAUGCUCGAAAGUGUGGGUAUCAAACAGGAUUAGAUACCCUGGUAGUCCACACAGUAAACGAUGAAUACUCGCUGUUUGCGAUAUACAGUAAGCGGCCAAGCGAAAGCGUUAAGUAUUCCACCUGGGGAGUACGCCGGCAACGGUGAAACUCAAAGGAAUUGACGGGGGCCCGCACAAGCGGAGGAACAUGUGGUUUAAUUCGAUGAUACGCGAGGAACCUUACCCGGGCUUGAAUUGCAACUGAAUGAUGUGGAGACAUGUCAGCCGCAAGGCAGUUGUGAAGGUGCUGCAUGGUUGUCGUCAGCUCGUGCCGUGAGGUGUCGGCUUAAGUGCCAUAACGAGCGCAACCCUUAUCGAUAGUUACCAUCAGGUUAUGCUGGGGACUCUGUCGAGACUGCCGUCGUAAGAUGUGAGGAAGGUGGGGAUGACGUCAAGUCAUCAUGGCCCUUACGACCAGGGCUACACACGUGCUACAAUGGCGCAUACAAAGAGAAGCGACCUCGCGAGAGCAAGCGGACCUCAUAAAGUGCGUCGUAGUCCGGAUUGGAGUCUGCAACUCGACUCCAUGAAGUCGGAAUCGCUAGUAAUCGUGGAUCAGAAUGCCACGGUGAAUACGUUCCCGGGCCUUGUACACACCGCCCGUCACACCAUGAGAGUUGGGGAUACCCGAAGCCUGUGAGCCAACAUAUCUAUGAGGCAGCAGUCGAAGGUAGAAUCAAUGAUUGGGGUG